CUCAUCGGUCUUUAACUAAUCACUGCACCAACUGUUGUCAUUCCGCUUUGCUUUCUGCUGUGGAACUUGACUGACACCUGUGCUUUGCCUGUGUGCAGAAGAAGAACAAGGACCAGAUCUCCAGUCUUCUCUCUCACAUCCCAACCCCCCAUCCCGUCUAUCCUCUGUCCUACUCCACCUGUUGUCUCUGCCUUCUUUCCAUCUGUAUUUCACCCUGUGGUUUGUGAGAAAUUUUGCCAAACCAAGAAUCUUAUUGCGGUUUGAUUUCAAAGCCGUGUCUCUCCUGCUCUGUCUGUUCUCUCUGCUAAAUUUUCUCUCUACCUGUUUUUCACUCUUUGGCUUGCUGCUGAAAAAUGCACAAGCCAAUAAAGCAAUAAAGAGUGCAUAUUUUGCCUCAACCUUUGAACAAACUGAACAAACAAAGAAAACUCUAAUUCACGGUUAAUUGGGAUUUCCCAGCCGUGUCUUUCCUGCUCUGUCUGUUCUCUCUUCUAAAUUUUCUCUCUACCUGUUUUUCACUCUUGGCUUGCUGCUGAAAAAUGCCAAGCCAUUAAAGCAAUAAAGAGUGCAUAUUGCCUCUACCUGAGAACAAACUGAACAAACAAAGAAAACUCUAAUUCACGGUUUGAUUGUGAUUUCCCAGCCGUGUCUCUCCUGCUCUGCCUGUUCUCUCUUCUAGAUUUUCUCUCUACCUGUUUUUCAUUCUGGGCUUGCUGCU